UCCUACGGGAGGCAGCAGUGGGGAAUAUUGGGCAAUGGGCGAAAGCCUGACCCAGCAAUGCCGCGUGAAUGAAGAAGGUCUUAGGAUUGUAAAAUUCUGUCCUAUGGGAAGAAACAAAUGACGGUACCAUAGGAGGAAGCCCCGGCUAGCUACGUGCCAGCAGCCGCGGUAAUACGUAUGGUGCAAGCGUUAUCCGGAAUGACUGGGUGUAAAGGGAGCGUAGACGGUUGUACAAGUCUGAUGUGAAAGCCCACGGCUCAACUGUGGGAGUGCAUUGGAAACUGUAGAACUAGAGUAUCGGAGAG
rnacentral:rRNA from 1 species